AACGAACGCUGGCGGCAUGCCUAACACAUGCAAGUCGAACGAGACCUUCGGGUCUAGUGGCGCACGGGUGCGUAACGCGUGGGAACCUGCCCUUAGGUUCGGAAUAACUCCCCGAAAGGGGUGCUAAUACCGGAUAAUGUCUUCGGACCAAAGAUUUAUCGCCUUUGGAUGGGCCCGCGUUGGAUUAGCUAGUUGGUAGGGUAAAAGCCUACCAAGGCGACGAUCCAUAGCUGGUCUGAGAGGAUGAUCAGCCACACUGGGACUGAGACAAGGCCCAGACUCCUACGGGAGGCAGCAGUGGGGAAUAUUGGACAAUGGGCGAAAGCCUGAUCCAGCAAUGCCGCGGGAGUGAUGAAGGCCUUAGGGUUGUAAAGCUCUUUUACCCGGGAUGAUAAUGACAGUACCGGGAGAAUAAGCUCCGGCUAACUCCGU
rnacentral:rRNA from 1 species